rnacentral:lncRNA from 1 species
CAGAUAUAUUCAGAAAGUAGGGAUAACAGUACUUGCCCACCUCCCUUGCUGGACUAUUUAUAAAGAGCAAGUGAAGUAAAGAAUAUCUGUGAAGCUCUGCCUAAAGGUCCCUAAAUAGAGCCAGAAACAGGAAGGUCUGGGCCUCUCCUACCAGUUCCAUGGGCAGUAGAGCUCAGCUGGUGUUCCAGUUGCUCCUGUAAGUGGUCAUUGAUGCAGAUGGAUUCCUCUAGGUGCUGGCCCAAGUUCUGGAUUUCACCAAGAUGCUCUUCCAGGAGGACAGCCCCUGUAGCCAAACCAACAGGACAUGGAGUAUGCAAAUAUAAGGUAUUCUUAUCACUGAGGCAAAAAUUCAUACUAUUGUAGAACUUUUUAAAUUGAGUAUGGAAUAAUAAUUAAGAACAUGCUUCCUUUAAGCCAUUAAUAUCGGAUCAACAGAAAAGGAGUGAUGUUUUUCCAUAUAGUUACUUAGAACAUAGCAAGAGAUCAUAUUUUAUUCAUUUUAAAAGGUGAUCUGAAGAACUAAAACUUUAUUAGUACCAUAUUUUAGUCAUAUUUAUGACAUUAAGAUCAGACUUUUAAUUUAUCCUGCUAUCAAUCUACUCUUGCUGCAGGUUGACAGAAGUAGGAGUGAUUAUUAACAUAAACUGUAAUCACUAUGAGCCAUUAGAAACCAAGAAUCACCCAGAACUGAAUCUUACUAGCGGACUCAGAAGGCUUCCUUGGUCUAUUAGUAAAAUUAAGGAAAGAUGUUCCCUAAAUGCCUUGUUGUAACGACACGACAAACUAGUCUUUGAUGGGUUGAUAUUUCUAUGGCUCCAUUACCUUCUUCUUUACUUCUGGAAAGUUACAAAAAAUUUUGUGCAAGAAAAGGUCUCUUAAAAUUGGGAAACUAAGAAAAGUGGAUGGAUCGGCCUACACUUCCUAUCUCCUUCCUUAAAUGACUCCUUUUUCCUCAAAAGCCAUUGAAACUGAAAUGGCAGAUUCAUUAAGAGUAAGGCUUAUGGCUAUCAAUCUUUUGCAAAUGACUUAAUCAGAAGAUUCCAGAGUGCUUCCCCAGUAAAACAUUUUCUCCCUGUCCACUCUAGUUUGACUGAUGCUCUAUCUGUUAUAGACACAGCUAAAGUUACAGAAACAGAUGAAAUUUAGAAUGUAAUACAAGCCAUGUCAACAUGUGAAAGAAAUAAAGUGUCACGCAAAAAAAAAAUAUGGAAGGAAAAAAAGCUGUGCCCUACUUAGUUUAGAAAGGGUAUUCAGUCACAUUUAUUGUACUAGAAAGCCUCAAUCCCUGUUCCCAAAUUCCAUGUUUAAAGUAAUUGGAACCUUGGCUUCUGACCUAGGAAACUUAAAACCAGAGGAAAUAAAUACAAAUUCAUGAUGUUGAACCCACAAAGCUGCAAAGCAAUUUUGGUUACUUUUCACACUAUGGACAUUCAAGACAUCAGAAAUACAAUCUCUGGUGUCCCUCUCCUUAUACCUGUCGUGUUGCCACAAGAAAGCAUUGAGACAAUGAUUAAAACUAUAAACAUACAUCUGUAACAUUUCUUUCUAAACUAUUCAAGCACUUCAAAGCCUGAAGCCUAUUACUGUUAUAUGGAGAAAAGUAUACGUACUAAAUAGUGAAAAACAUAGGAUCCUAUCUAGUGCCACAAAUGGAAGAAGCAAUACCCUCUUCUGGCUAUAAUGAGUUAUUUGGUGAAACACUGAAUAUAAAGAGGGAUACUAUAUUUGAAAUUAUCUUUGUAAACAGAGAAUUCUGACUCUGGAAGACCAUUCUAGAAGUCAUGUUCUGACUAAAUAGCAUGAGCUUGGUUUAAAGAAACCUAAAGGAAUCAAUAAAGAACAAAUUUUAAGUAGAAUUGAAUCUGUACUUAAUCUAAUUUCACUUGUGUACAACAGUCAACUCUGAGACAGUAUUGGAGAUAAAAGUUGACUAUGAUCACUUUCAUAGUUCUUGCCUCUGUUCUUUAACUUGGCCUUCCCAAUACUUGCAGUCUACUAUUACAAGACUACUCUCCUGGUUUUGAUUACCUUCUGAUAAGGAUUAUAUCACUUUUGCGAAGUCAUUCUUAUAGACUCAAUCUCUUUCCCACUCUCUCAUCUUAAAACUUGUAUUCCUUUGAUUUAAAAAAUGCUCUCACUCAAAGAGAAGUUGACUGAAUGGCAAAAAUACCACACACACAUGCAUUUAUGAUAUGAUAUGGGACACAUGAAAUGGAUUGUAAAAGUGGGGGAACAAUAAACUUUAUUGGCUCACAGAAGGGAUGAGGCAAUGAGAAGGGGCUAGGGAUAAGAAUGAAUAAAAGUGGAAAAACUAAAACAGAAUGAUUUAAAAUGUGCAAAUACACUUUGCAACCUCCACCAUUCAAUUUAGGGAUUGAUAUGUAUGUACAAUGAGAUCCAUGUAGGCUAAAGUGAGUUUCACUUUGUAGUUGAUGCUACUUGUACCAGUUCUAUCAUUAGUAAGUCACCGUUUAAUUCUGCCAAAGUCAGACAAGGAUCUUUCUGGUUAGUGCAAACAAGGUUUUCCAUCCUGGGCUGCAGUCUGACCCGCCAGUGCUCAGUAGGCAUGCUUGUGAUGAAUUCAAACACUUUCCAGUUCCCUACCUCCAGUGGUGGCCAGGGUCUCCAGCCUGUUUAAGCACUCCAAGCUUCUUCCAAGAACUUCUUCUAGCCGACUGCGUAACACCUGAGCCCUUCCAGUUCCACCUGCAGAGUUCGGUCUCUCUCAGAGCUGAUUAAACAUGCCACAUGGAAGGAAAAUGGAUUAGCCAUCAACUGUAGUGAGUCCACAUUUGCUUCCAAAGAACCAACAAUGCCACUUUGAGCCACACGACUUUGUAAAGUAAUUNNNNNNNNNNAGUAAUAAAAGGAUUAUUCAGCAGAGUAGCACGGGAACAAAUGUUCUUGAAAUAUUCUGCCUAUACUUUCAAGUGGGAUAUGGAUAAUCACUGGCCAAGGGAUUCGAUGUGUGCAAACAUUGUCUGAAGAUGCCCUACAGGUAUUCUGAGCUGUGAACAUUUCCAAUGGUCUUUAAAAAGUUUUGAAAGACCUUUAUGAGAUCUUCUUUAAUCUGUAUGUUCCUGGUCAGAGACUCCAUAUCAGCAGCCUGCACCUGCAGCUCUUCUUCCUGCACAGCCAUCAUGGACUGUAGAGCAGAAAGUUCCAUCUGUGAAAAGAGGAAACAAUGUCUGCCAUGUUUACAUUUUAACACUGAGGCAAAUGCUUUUGCAUAUCCUAUUACUAUCAGCCAGUAAUGGAAAAGAAAAUGAGAACAUGAAUAGGGCUCUACAGCAUCAAACCAAUAAUCCAUGCAGUAUAGUAACAAAGGAAGUUUUAUGGGAAGAUGUCAUAGUUGUUCUUAAUGAUGUCUUCUACUUUAGCUGGCACUAUAAAACACAUCAAAUUCGUUUAACAAGCUUAUUAUGAUACUGAAAAAGAAUGGUUACCAUUAGCAGAAGCAAGAAGAGAUGAAGUUUUUAUGUAAGUAAAACUUCACCUAACAGAUGAAAAAAUGAUAGCAUUAGGAUAUCUCCAUUUUGCAACCCUUAAUGAAUUAAGGGAUAAGGCAUCAAACAGCAACAGCUGCUAACAUCACGAGAGAUCACCAAACAUUACAUGACUCCUGAUGGAAGAACACGCCACCACCUGUGAAGAAAUACUGCCAAAAGCUGGCACUACAUGCCCUAAACUUUCAGUGUUCUCAUCAGAAAAUGACAAGUACUUGGUUAUGACAAAGUUCAUUAAAAAUCAUAAUAGGCCAGGCGUGGUAGCUCACACCUGUAAUCCCAGCACUUUGGGAGGCUGAGGUGGGCGGAUCAUGAGGUCAGGAGUUCGAGACCAGCCUGACCAACAUGGUGAAACCCAUCUCUACUAAAAAUACAAAAACUAGCCGAGCGUGGUGGUGUGUGUCUGUAAUCCUAGCUACUCAGGAGGCUGAGGCAAGAGAAUCGCUUGAACCCAGGAGGCAGAGGUUGCAAUGAGCCAAGAUCGUGCCACUGCACUCCAGCCUGGCAACAGAGCGAGACUCCAUCUCAAAAAAAAAAUCAUGAUAACAACCAUAGCUGCUAACACUUACUAUGCCCUGGGCUCUCUAAUAAAUGCUUUGUAUAGUUUUAAUCCUUUUAACAAACCUAGUGAUCUGGCUCCUGCCUACUUUUCCUACUUUAAUAUCUGCCAUUUUACUGCUCACUCAUGACUCUGUAGGCACAUUAGACUUUUUCUGUUCCAGGAACACCAGACUUUCUCUUGACUCGGCCUUUACAACUACUCCCUUUCCCUGAAAUAUCUUUCUCAGGGCUGCCUCCUUUUCAUCCUUAGGUCCCAGCUUAAGUGCCAUCUGCUCAGAGAAGCCUUCUUUGGCCACCCUAUUUAAGAUGGUCUCCAUCCAUGUUGCUUUCUAUCAUUUCCCUCAUAUCACUUACUAUACUCUAUAAUUAUAAUGUUUAUUUAUUUAUUGUCUGUAUCUCCCCAGUAGAAAUUAACUACACAGAGCCACAGACCUUACUGAUUUCAUUCACUACCUACCUCAUCCCCAGCACUAGCCCAAGCUUAGAGAAGGUCCCCAUAUAGCUAAUGAAUGAAUGAGUGAAUCCUCACAACAAUCCUAUGAGAUAACUACUCUUUUAUUUAUACAUAAGGUGACUUCUUCUACUCUUCAACUUACAGACAAGGUGAUUUGAGUCUGAGAGAAAUUAAGGAACUUGUUCAAAAAUCACAGGGCUGGCUAGUAAGUGGUAAAUCCAGAACGUGAACUCAGGGAAGCUGACUCAGAGCCGCUAGGCUAUAAUAUCUUUCCUGUAGAUACCACAUAUCCAUACAAUCUUUAUGGUAAGACAAGUUAUUUUAAAUAAACCCUUUAAAGGAAUUUAGCAAUAGCUAAAUAUCACCCAAAAUACCCAUUCAUAGGCAUUACAAUUUCAUGAUCCUGAAAACAGGACAGAAUCAAAAAGUAACAUUACUCUGGAUUUGAUAAAUGUGAGAAAAACAGGAAGAGGAUGUGGAAACUAAAAUAUCUGACAUGAAUAAUCAGAUAACGGCUAAGGUAGAACCACAAAAAGGAAAGAAGACUAGGGGAUUUUUAAAACUAGUAUUUCUUAAAUGCCACACAUUCUCAUAUCCUGAAAACUAAUUGAGUCAUAAAACAUGAGUCUGUUUGUAAGCAGAAAUAUGACAAUGAAAUCAAAAGAUAAAAUAUGAUAAUUCUGUCACAAAUAGAAACACAGGUUUUAUAUUACAGAUCUAGCUAUGGCAAAAGGUAGAAAAAAACUAAGAGCUAUUUGGACUAGCUA